rnacentral:rRNA from 1 species
GACGAACGCUGGAGGCGUGCUUAGCACAUGCAAGUCGAACGAUGAAAUGGAGCUUGCUCCAUGGAUUAGUGGCGAACGGGUGAGUAACACGUGAAUAACCUGCCCUUAAUUUUGGAAUAACCCAGGGAAACCUGGGCUAAUACCGGAUAAGUAAACCUGUGGCAUCACAUGGUUUUGGAAAGUUUUUCGAUUAAGGAUGGAUUCGCGGCCUAUCAGCUUGUUGGUGAGGUAAUGGCUCACCAAGGGGACGACGGGUAGCCGGCCUGAGAGGGGGAACGGCCACACUGGGACUGAGACACGGCCCAGACUCCUACGGGAGGCAGCAGUGGGGAAUAUUGCGCAAUGGACGAAAGUCUGACGCAGCGACGCCUCGUGAGGGACGAAGGUCUUCGGAUUGUAAACCUCUUUCAGCAGGGACGAAGCGAAAGUGACGGUACCUGCAGAAGAAGCACCGGCUAACUAUGUGCCAGCCGCCGCCGUAA